CUCUUAUCAAGAGUGGUGGAGGGAUGUGCCCUUUGAAGCCCGGCAACCGUCAUAUAAAUAUGAAAUGGUGCCAAUUCACAAAAAGUGUUAACUUUUGGAGAUGAGAG
rfam:Staphylococcus aureus C0673 genomic scaffold aedLz-supercont1.3, whole genome shotgun sequence.